rnacentral:rRNA from 1 species
AACGAGCGCUGGCGGCAUGCCUAACACAUGCAAGUCGAACGAGACCUUCGGGUCUAGUGGCGCACGGGUGCGUAACGCGUGGGAACCUGCCCUUAGGUUCGGAAUAACUCCCCGAAAGGGGUGCUAAUACCGGAUAAUGUCUUCGGACCAAAGAUUUAUCGCCUUUGGAUGGGCCCGCGUUGGAUUAGCUAGUUGGUAGGGUAAAAGCCUACCAAGGCGACGAUCCAUAGCUGGUCUGAGAGGAUGAUCAGCCACACUGGGACUGAGACACGGCCCAGACUCCUGCGGGAGGGGGAGGGGGGGAAUAUUGGAAAAGGGGAGAAAGCCUAAUCCAGCAAGGCCGGGGGGGUAUUGAAGCCUUGAGGUUUGAAAAGCUGUUUGCCCCGGGAGGAAAAGGACAGACCCGGGAAAAAAACCCCCGCCAACCCCCGGC